UCUUACAGAUGGGCAAAGAAAAUGGUUUCUUGAGAUAGAAGCUGUCCCUGGUGAAGAUUCUGUGAA
rnacentral:pre_miRNA from 1 species